AGACAGGAUGUUUUUAUUGAAACAUAACGUUACGUGUAUAAAUCAUAACAAAACAUGCAACUGAUAACUUGCUUUCAAUCCAUACAGAUUGCUGUGUUGCAAUUAUUCCAUUUAAAAUCUCAUAGUUGCUCAGUGUUAACACAAAAAAAAUAAAAAAAUUGACUUGUUGUACUGGAGCAGAUACAAAAAAAUACUUGCUAGUCUACAACCUAAUGCUAAAUCGUGUCUGGUGUGUUUAAAAACAAAUAUUAUAGUAAACAUUUUAUUCUAAUUUUUGUAAUUAUGAUUUAUAUAGCUAAAAUAAAGUUUGCCACUAAUACGUAUUUAUGGAAAGCGUCCUUGCAUUAGACUGGGCCUAGAUUUCUGAUAUGCCACCUUAAUUGAAAUUGUUUGAAUAGAUGUUAAAAGAU